rnacentral:rRNA from 1 species
GACGAACGCUGGCGGCGUGCCUAAUACAUGCAAGUAGAACGCACAGUUUAUACCGUAGCUUGCUACACCAUAGACUGUGAGUUGCGAACGGGUGAGUAACGCGUAGGUAACCUGCCUGGUAGCGGGGGAUAACUAUUGGAAACGAUAGCUAAUACCGCAUAAUAUUGAUUAUUGCAUGAUAAUUAAUUGAAAGGUGCAAUUGCACCACUACCAGAUGGACCUGCGUUGUAUUAGCUAGUAGGUGAGGUAACGGCUCACCUAGGCGACGAUACAUAGCCGACCUGAGAGGGUGAUCGGCCAAACUGGGACUGAGAAACGGCCCAGACUCCUACGGGAGGCAGCAGUAGGGAAUCUUCGGCAAUGGACGAAAGUCUGACCGAGCAACGCCGCGUGAGUGAAGAAGGGUUUCGGAUCGUAAAGCUCUGUUGUAAGAGAAGAACGGGUGUGAGAGUGGAAAGUUCACACUGUGACGGUAGCUUAACAGAAAGGGACGGCUAACUACGUG